GGUCCGGUGGUGUAGUUGGUUUAUCACAUGAGUCUAACAAUCUGUGUAGUACACUGUGUUCACUCAAGGUCCUCAGUUCGAGCCUGGGCCGGAUCA
rnacentral:tRNA from 3 species